rnacentral:rRNA from 1 species
UACGUAGGGGGCAAGCGUUGUCCGGAUUUAUUGGGCGUAAAGAGCGUGUAGGCGGCCAGAUAGGUCGGUUGUGAAAACUGGAGGCUUAACCUCCAGACGUCGAUCGAAACCAUCUGGCUAGAGUCCGGAAGAGGAGAAUGGAAUUCCUGGUGUAGCGGUGAAAUGCGCAGAUAUCAGGAAGAACACCCGUGGCGAAGGCGGUUCUCUGGGACGGUACUGACGCUGAGACGCGAAAGCGUGGGGAGCGAACAGG